rnacentral:rRNA from 1 species
UACGAAGGGGGCUAGCGUUGCUCGGAAUCACUGGGCGUAAAGGGUGCGUAGGCGGGGCUUUAAGUCAGGGGUGAAAUCCUGGAGCUCAACUCCAGAACUGCCUUUGAUACUGAGGAUCUUGAGUUCGGGAGAGGUGAGUGGAACUGCGAGUGUAGAGGUGAAAUUCGUAGAUAUUCGCAAGAACACCAGUGGCGAAGGCGACUACCUGGCCUGUUCUUGACGCUGAGGCGCGAAAGCUAGGGGAGCAAACGGG